rnacentral:lncRNA from 1 species
ACCGUUCUUCAAGAACUUGGGCUCCUUCUCAAGCUCCUUACCUGAUCGCCUGUCGAUCUUGGUCAACAGCUCAGAAAACUUGACAGCAAUAUGGGAGGUGUGACAGUCAAGAACAGGGGCAUAUCCAUUUCCAAUCUGGCCAGGGUGAUUCAUGAUAAUAACUUGGGAGGUAAAGUUGGCUGCUUCCUUGGCGGGAUCGUCCUUCGAGUUGGAUGCAACGUAGCCACGCUUGAGAUCCUUGACAGCAACAUUCUUCACAUUAAACCCAACGUUGUCCCCCGGAAGAGCCUCCUGGAGAGCCUCAUGGUGCAUCUCCACAGACUUAACUUCAGUGGUCAACCCAGAGGGACCAAAAGUGACAACCAUCCCAGGCUUAAUGACACCAGUCUCAACACGGCCGACAGGGACAGUUCCGAUACCACCAAUCUUGUACACGUCCUGAAGUGGGAGACGGAGGGGCUUGUCAGAUGGUCUCUUGGGCUCAUUAAUCUGGUCGAGGGCCUCGAGCAAUGUUGGACCCUUGUACCAGUCAAGGUUGGUAGACCUCUCAAUCAUGUUGUCUCCCUCGAAUCCGGAGAUGGGGACAAAUGGAAUCUUGUCAGGGUUAUAUCCCACCUUCUUCAGGUAAGAAGAGACUUCCUUAACAAUUUCAUCAUACCUAGCCUUGGAGUACUUGGGGGUGGUGGCAUCCAUCUGUCACAAUAGAUGCCAAAGUUAGGUCGUCAAUCAACACACCCAGAUGAAGCCAUCAACAGCAGUGUGGAACAUUAAAUAUUACCUUGUUACAGCAGCAAAUCAUUUGCCUGACACCAAGGGUGAAAGCAAGGAGAGCAUGUUCACGGGUCUGGCCAUCCUUGGAAAUACCAGCUUCGAAACCACCAGUGGUGGAAUCAAUGAUAAGGACAGCACAGUCGGCCUGGGAGGUUCCAGUAAUCAUAUUCUUAAUAAAGUCACGAUGUCCAGGAGCAUCAAUGACAGUGCAGUAGUACUUGGUGGUCUCGAACUUCCACAAGGCAAUAUCAAUGGUAAUACCGCGCUCGCGCUCGGCCUUGAGCUUGUCAAGCACCCAAGCAUACUUGAACGAUCUCUUGUUCAUCUCAGCAGCUUCCUUCUCGAAUCUCUCAAUCACACGCUUGUCGAUUCCUCCGAGCUUGUAUAUCAAGUGGCCAGUAGUGGUUGACUUCCCAGAAUCGACAUGGCCAAUGACCACAAUGCUGAUGUGAAUCUUCUCCUUACCCAUUUUGAUGUACGAGGCUUAAACUGUCCAAUGAAAAAAGAGAAAAUUAUUAGACGUUAGGAUAAGGAUUUAAAGCAUCUUGAAAAAGCAAAAGUAACUGUGAGAACAAGAAAACUCAUAUUAAUAACAACAUCGAUCUAACAUUUCCACAUUGUCAAUCGCAGCAUAUUUUUAACACCGUGUCUCCCAACAAGAAAUUUCACAUAAGAUUCCAAUCACAAGAAAUCAUACAUAAAAUUCUAAUAAAAUUCAGUCAGACAACCAAUUUGAGACAUGUUCCAAUCUCGGUCGAGUAAGACAACGGACCACUUUUUCGAAACACACAUCCGAAACACGCAAUCCAGGCUUCUCAAGAUUCAAAGCAAACAUAAGAAAAAGGACAAAAGCUAAAAUCAUGAGAUAUUAAAAAAAAAAAAAAAAAACCCAAUCUCACACCCACGCAUGAGUGCGGUGGAAGGAGAUCAAAUCAGACCAGGACCAUCGAACCAAUCAUACAAAAACGCCGCCUUCCCAGGCUCCUCCAGUCGUAACCUUAUCUUAGAUACCAGACUCCGCCGCGACAGCCACAAAACGGCCAAGCUAAAAACCACCCACGACAGCAAAUCCACCACCCAUUCUCCUCAACAGACUCGAGGGAGAAAGCUACCCAGCCGAGUUCCGAACAAUCUCGAGCUCAGAAAACACAAAGCAAACAAAACAAAACAAGCAAGCAACGCAAGCACGAACAACCGAUGAUCGAACAACAAGGUCAGCGAUCAAGAACAAGAACGAGAGGAGAUUGAAGGGUCACCUCGGCAGAUCUCGCAGCUGGCCGCGAGAGGGAGAGAGAGGUGACGAGCAGCAGCAGCAGAAGGGAAGGGCAGGGCAGGAUUAGGGUUUGAGAGUGAGGAACGCAGCCUUACACGAGGCUUUAUAUAGCACCCCUCGCUAAUGCCAUUUUUCGUUUCCCAGGAGUGUCCUCAUCUCGCGCUCAUAAUUUCGACAUUGGCCUCUUCAAGCUUCUUUUUUUUUUUUUUUUCCAUUUUUAUUCUUGCUUUCCUUGAUAAUUACCGAGUGGCCAUGCUAUUUCCAUCCCUCAAUUAUUAAAUACACCCUUAUUUACACUAGAGGAACAAAAUUGCCCUCAAUCUUUCGAUUGCAAUUUAAAUAAUGGCCCAUUUCCUCUCUUUUUUUCUAAUUUUUUUCUAUUUAUGAUAUUGCCAUAAUUAAGCUUUUCACAUGUUUUGUUUGUUAGCGUAUCAAAGAAAAUUGCAUUAUCGGAUAAAAGAAAGAUAGUGCCUCUAAUAUACAUAGAAAAUAUAAAAUUAACUAAAAUUAAACAUAUAAAUUCUUAACUAUGGUAAGUAAAUCUUAUGUAGAUAUAAAAACUAAAAAAAAAAAAAAGUAAAUAAAUUUGGGACUACUAAUGUAAGAUAGAUGCAACUUUGUAUUUUUGGAAGAGUUAGGUGAAUUUAGUUAUAUAAGGAAUGGAAAGAGCGUUGCCCUUACCAUAUACACUCUCAAUUUGUUUUUGUCUACCAUAGUACAUUUACUAUUUUUUAAAAGUUUCAGUCCGUACCAUGAUUAUUUAUUUUAUAAAUCUUCAAUCAUGAUCAUAUUUCUAUUUUUCUUCCAAAUUUUAGCCAUCACUUUUCCAAUCUCCCACACUCCCACAUCGUGUUUUGUUUACUUAAAAAUGGAAAAAUCACACUAAUAGUUCUUUAACUUUGACCGAGUGCACAACGUCAUUCUUAAAUUUUUUGUUCUUCUUUUGUUUGAAUGCGCAAGAGAGAGAGUCACAAGUCUCUAAACUAUCAUGAUAGAUACAAUAUGGUCUUUAAAUAUAGCUAAAUGUGCAACCUAAAUUCUUAAACUUUCAAUUUGCCUGAUUUAGUCACUCGAUAUUCCAUAACUAGGUCAAAUCAUUCCUUCUAUCACUAUUGUUGAUUUCGUAAUAUUAUUUCAUUUCAAUCCAUUUCCUCAAUAACAAAAAAAGUGGCUAUCUUUCUAUUUACUUUUUUAUCUUAUUGAUAUUAUAUAUAUUACGAUAGUUCUACUUAAUUAUACCUUAGCUUAUUAUCUCUAUGAUAGUAAAAGUAGAAUCCCAUUGAGAGCAAUAUCAGUUUGAUAUUUUUUCUUCUAUUUAAUUUUAAGUAUUUUCAUAAUACUAUCUGAAAUAUAUAUAUAUAUAUAUAUAUAUAUAUAUAUAUUUGUAUAACUCUCUAUAGAUACUUGUACUUACAUUAAUCUAAAUCUCAUUCCUAUCGUUUAAUAAACUUAUCAAGUUUUUACGUUUCUCGUAUUCUUCAUUAAAUUCAGUUAAAUUCAUUGUUUGCAUGGACUGAUGUCUUUUUUUUUUUUUUUUCAAGAUUGUGUGGGCUUCGACUUCCUAGUGAAUGGAAAUCAUUACUUAACUUAAUUACUUAAAUCAAAGUCCAAAAAAAAAAUUGACCCAAAGUGCAACCAACAAACAAUUUCCAUUUGAUGUAAUUUUAAUUCCAUCCGACGAUUGCUCACCCAAUUUGAUGACGUGCUACGCUGUAAAGUCAAUAUGGCAUUUUUUAAUAUUUUUUUUACGUACGUAGAGUUGAGUCAUCGACACGCUGCCAAACGGGUGCUGCAUUAGAAAGUAGGCCAAACGGAGAUAUUUAUGAUAUACUACUAAAAUUUACAUUCGAGAUUUCAAAUAAUGAAUCAAGAUAUAUUUUAGGCUGGUGAUUGCAUUUUAAAGCUAAAACAUCAGUACAAGUUAAAAAAAAUUCCACUUUAGUUGUCCCACGUAAAGAUUACGUUAAUUAAAUUCGGCUAAAUGGGUAUUCUUUUUCUGAUUCGUUAACUUAUUUUGAACAUCUACAAUAUGGUGAUUUCCUUUACGGUCCUCCUUUUCCAAGCCUGCUCAUGGUGUCAAGUUCUCAACAAAACGUAUCCCGUGCUCUUUGAUUGAGAAUUUACACUAGCACUCUACCUAAGGUGACAAAUGGCAAACAUGGCAUCCAAAUAUACCGUAUUUCUUGCUCAUUUUGGUCCCACUCGUGCCUCGUUUUUAUCUUUCCAGUUGGCAAUAAAAGGUCGUCGUGCUUCCAAAUAUCAAAUCCAGUAGUCUACGCUCGCGGUGGCUGUCACAGGUAGGAGUGUCCAAAAACUCAACCCGAACGCGAUAUUUUAGGUCUUAAUAUUAUUUAGGUAACAAUUACAAAACAAGCAAACAACCAUGUUUUGAGUCGGGUUGAGGUCGAAACAUUGUUCGGCUGGUGAACACAUUAUUAAUCUUAAACAAUGAAACAAACACGUUCUCUCAUCUCACCAAAAUACAAAACAUCCACACCCAAAGCCAAACACAUUGGUUCCGGACGACUCUUCCUUCUUGCCUUCUCCUCUUGUCGACUCCACCACCAUCAGCUACUACGCCUUCUCCGCUCAUACACUCCGCCGCUGCUGCCAGCGUCGACUCUGCUGCCACUGUCGGCGUCGAUUCUGCCACCACCCUCUUCUUUGCUCUUGCAUUCUAGGUUUCGCUUCGCGGUAAAAUCACCGCCCGUCACUCCUAUUUUGAGCCAUCUUCGUCCCCAAUUUGCAACCCAGGAAUCAAGCUUUGCCGGUUCAUCGUCUUGCCUUACAAUCGUUAUUACUAGCACAGGCCUCUCUUUCCUUUUUUUUUUUUUUUUUUUUUUUGUUUCCUUCUAGUUUUUCGUUUUCUCGUCGCCCUUCGACCUAAUUAUCGGGCUUUCGCUGGAAAACUUAGAGCUUGCUCUUUUUUUCUAUCCAAUGCUUGUGAAGAAAGAGCGACAUUGAAUCUCGAGAUGCUUUGCUUGGAGCUCCGCGUGUUCUUCACAAGUGAUCAUUCCGUGUUUGUUUUUUUAUGUGGUUUCUGGGAGAAUGGCUGUUGGCCCAUCACUCCUUUCCCCUCUCUUUCUCCUCUCUGUUUGCUAAUCUUGCUUUUCUUUUCUUUGCUACUUCAAUUUUUAUAAGUCUUUGGUGAUGAUUUUUCCUCUGCGAAAAAAUCAAAUCAAAACAGGGUUAGAGAAGUCGUACCUUCCACAUUGGGGCCUUUUGGAAUGAGAACUUAUUAUACUGUCUGAACUUUAUCGAAAGUGCGUGCAUUUGCUGUCAAUGUUGUUGUUCCCUUCUAAUAAAGUGUGAUCCUAACGCUUCAAAAGGGUCAUUAUGUCCCAACUUUGAAUAGGGUACAUUUACAGAGAAUGGAAAUAGAAUGAUUAAAUUGUGGGACUAGUGCCAAAUGUCACUUGUGGAAGUAAGGGCUCAUGAUAAGAAAAGGGUUGGAUCUUGUUUGCUGUAUAUGUACUUCUAACUUGAAAGAAGAUUUGAAAACAUCAGGGAAGCGGGAGCUGAACUUCGAGCUCAAACGUUACCUAGUGAUCAUUUUCACAGCUGAAUUUUAAUCUCAUCUUGUUUGACCUUUUUAUCUCAUUUUACUAUGGAACUGUGUCAGUAAAUAAGCUUAACCUUUUCCAGAUGGAGCUUCUUUAUGAAUGCUUUGGUAGAGCUGAAUGAGGGAUGGCUUCAUAACGUUAGAAAGGAAAAUUGGAACGAUUCUUCUAUUUUUUUUGUUUUUUGAUUUUUUAAUAAAUUGUUGACUGUCCCUUUAGAUAAUAAACAAAUAAAUCCAGUUCCUAGGCAUGUUAUGUAUAGUUCUAUGCUUCAAAAUUUAAUCGAACUGUUCUCUUAAAACUAGCAGAGGAACUCAAUAGGAAAUUCGUUGGGCGAUAAAGAAGAGGUGAGAGCGGAAAAAGAAGAGGGGAAAAAAAUGUAGACCCAGAACCCAACCUGGACCGGACCGAAUUAUUGCUUCAGGUAUUAUGCAUUUUGGGUCGGGUCAGGUAACGCCAAAACCCGACCUGACCCAUUGACGACCCUAAUCACAGACACACACAUAAUAAACACUAAAUAUCAGUAAAAGCAUGCAAAUCCAUAUAAUAGAGCGCAGGAGCUCACCACUCUCCUGCACGGCACUUCAACAGAAUAUCUAUACCAAUAUCCAGAAAACAAAGCAGACUCAGAAACACACCUGUUUGGCCCCGAAAGACACAGAAUACAAGUAAAAGAAAGACUCAAAACAGACUCAUAGAAGUAAAAAAGCGCCGCCACCGCCUGUCAAGCACCCAGUUCUGCAACCAGCAACUCGAUGAGGAUAGGAACGCGAGGCCACAACCAGCAAACCAUUUGCCCACCCGACCAACAUGGACAUAGCCAACAACUGCCAAAGAUUUAUUACUCCACCUGAGGAGACGAUGCUCAAAUGUUGAAGUGCCGACAAUGAACCACGCAAUUCACUUGCCACCCUUCUUGGCAGCAGACUUUGUGACCUUGGCACCACUAGGAUCCUUCUUCUCCACAUUCUUGAUGACGCCGACGGCGACGGUCUGACGCAUGUCCCUCACGGCAAAACGACCGAGGGGAGGAUACUCAGAGAAAGUCUCAACGACCAUGGGCUUGGUGGGGAUCAUCUUCACCAUCCCAGAGUCACCAUUCUUCAAGAACUUGGGUUCCUUCUCAAGCUCCUUACCAGAUCGCCUGUCAAUCUUGGUCACCAGCUCAGCAAACUUGACAGCAAUGUGGGAGGUGUGGCAGUCAAGAACAGGGGCAUAACCAUUUCCGAUUUGUCCGGGGUGGUUCAUGAUGAUAACUUGGGAGGUGAAGUUGGCUGCUUCCUUGGCGGGAUCGUCCUUUGAGUUGGAAGCAACAUAACCACGCUUGAGAUCCUUGACAGCAACAUUCUUCACGUUAAACCCAACGUUGUCACCUGGAAGGGCCUCCUGGAGAGCCUCAUGGUGCAUCUCCACGGACUUAACUUCAGUGGUCAAUCCAGAGGGACCAAAAGUGACAACCAUCCCAGGCUUAAUUAAACCAGUCUCAACACGGCCGACAGGGACAGUUCCGAUACCACCAAUCUUGUACACGUCCUGAAGUGGGAGACGGAGGGGCUUGUCAGAUGGUCUCUUGGGCUCAUUAAUCUGGUCGAGGGCCUCGAGCAAUGUUGGACCCUUGUACCAGUCAAGGUUGGUAGACCUCUCAAUCAUGUUGUCUCCCUCGAAUCCGGAGAUGGGGACAAAUGGAAUCUUGUCAGGGUUAUAUCCCACCUUCUUCAGGUAAGAAGAGACUUCCUUAACAAUUUCAUCAUACCUAGCCUUGGAGUACUUGGGGGUGGUGGCAUCCAUCUGUCACAAUAGAUGCCAAGUUAGGUCGUCAAUCAACACACCCAGAUGAAACCAUCAACGGCAGUGUGGAACAUUAAAUAUUACCUUGUUACAGCAGCAAAUCAUUUGCCUGACACCGAGGGUGAAAGCAAGGAGAGCAUGUUCACGGGUCUGGCCAUCCUUGGAAAUACCAGCUUCAAAACCACCAGUGGUGGAAUCAAUGAUAAGGACAGCACAGUCGGCCUGGGAGGUUCCAGUAAUCAUAUUCUUAAUAAAGUCACGAUGUCCAGGAGCAUCAAUGACGGUGCAGUAGUACUUGGUGGUCUCGAACUUCCACAAGGCAAUAUCAAUGGUAAUACCACGCUCGCGCUCGGCCUUGAGCUUGUCAAGCACCCAAGCGUACUUGAACGAUCUCUUGUUCAUCUCAGCAGCUUCCUUCUCGAAUCUCUCAAUCACACGCUUGUCGAUACCUCCAAGCUUGUAAAUCAAGUGGCCAGUGGUAGUUGACUUGCCAGAGUCGACAUGGCCAAUGACCACAAUGUUGAUGUGAACCUUCUCCUUACCCAUUUCGAGAUAUGGGGCUUAAAGCUGCGAAAAGGAAGAAAAACGAUUCUCAGAUUGGAGAGAAAUUGGACAACGGGUAAAGAGAGAGGAAAGGAAAUACAGCAACAAAAUGAAAUAAAGUGGAUGCAAGAUAAAUGCGAAGAUACACCAUUUGUCAAGAUUUGUACAAGAAAAAUGCAUUGUAUUUGUAAGACAGCAAAUUCAGCCUCACAUAUCAACAUCCAUAUGGUCAAUUGAAAAUCACUGCACUCCCUAUUUUCCAUGACUCCUUCGUUAGAAUUCAAACGAUAAAAUGGGGAGUAAACGGGCUGGGAUGCUAUGCUAAUGAAAUCCACAGACUGUCAUCGACAACGAAAUGAAAACUAUCAUGAUGUCACCUCCAUCACCAGCGCAACGAAGCAUAUUUCGAAUAAGAAAAUUCAAAACGCAGUACAGACCAUAUCUGAACAAACUGGCUGUUCACAGGUUGGGAAGCCGAUUCCCAUUCAACAAGAACCGAUUGCAGCACAACAACCAUCGGACCAUCAGCACGCACUGCUCGGGCUAUAAUCGAUUCAUCGCACACCCCCGAAACACCCCGUCGAUCAUUCCCGGCGCCCACGCAAUACACUCCCUCAUCAGGAAAUUAAAAAGAAAAGAAAAGAAAAGAAAAAACGUAACGACGCCAUCGAAUCCUCCGAAUCGCACAGCAAUCAGACGCGGAUAGACUCGCGAAGCUCGAGCAGGACCGAUCAACCAGAAUCGGAAGCCGGCGACGAUCAUCGACUCCACACGACUCGCGCUACGCCAUCGGGAAAACGAAACUUCCGCCGGCAACGAUCGAUCAGACGACAGACGCAGAACGAAUCCCAGCCAAAAAAAAAAAAAAAAACAAACAAAACAAAAAAAGCACGUUCGGAAAGUCAACGUCGAGUCAGCACAGCCACACCAGUUCAAGCGAAGCAAAACGAACACCAUCGACGCCAAUCCAUCACGCGGUCGAACGGAACGCAUAGAGCAUGAGCAGAAGAAGCAACCAGAGGAGGAAGAAGACGAAAAACGACCUCACCUCGGAAAAUCUCGGCCGCCGAGAAUCUCGAAAACCAGUGAAUCAACCAGCGAAAGAGACGACGGGGAAAUGAAUGCGCGGGUGGCACGGUAGGGUUCUGAGGGCGCUCGCUUUUAUACCGCUUCCCACCCUCGCGACGCUCCGAUUCCGCAAUUGCCCCCGCUUCGAGCGCCUAAUUCCGAAAUUGCCCUCGGGCGUUUUCUCUUUGCUUGGGGAGCAAGGCAGUGGAGGCUCCCAGGAUGGGAAAAUGUCCCGACCUUUUUUGCUGGCGAUUAAAAUAUUACAGUUGGCGGAGGAACAACUUCUCGAAAACGAAUUCUUUUUUUUUUUCGUUUGGUUUGAGGUUUUUGUCUUUUUGUUCUUUUUGUUCUUUUUUCUUUUUUUGCAACAGAAAAAAAAAAUCGCAAAAGAGACGCGAUAAUGUGUCAAUGAAAUAAUUUGCGCAUCUUUCCGACGUGGAGAUGCUCUUCCACCGCCAUCCUUUCCAAAAGAUACUAAGAAAGAUAUAUUGACUAAGGGGAUACGACGUACAAACCAAUCGAAAUUUAUCCCUUUUUUCCGAAGUAGGCCGAAAUUGCACAAUAAUCGAACGGAGAUAUGAUAUCUGCCUUGCGUACCACGUUAGGAUCGUUUAUCAUUUGUGCUCGUUGAAAACUAUAACAAUAAAUUGGCGAGAGUAGUUGGGGACCAUUCAAAUAUCCAGAAGAGCCGAUUUUGUCAAAGUAGCAAUGUAAUGUGGGAAUUGAGUCAUGUGGACUUAGGGUGUUAAAUGGGUUGCAUAACCCAUUUAUAGACCUAUUUAUGGUUAAAUGGGUCAUUAAUGGGUCAAGCUUUCUGCUUUCUUUCAUAAAGCACCCAUAAUGGGUUUUAAUGAGUUUUAAUGGGUCAAGACUAAGAUAUAUGGAUUUUAAAUGGGUUAGAGAGUUGACCCAUUUAUGACCCAUUUAUCAACCCAUUAAAAAUGAACCUAUUAAUUUUCACUCAAAAUCCCACCAUCUCUCUCCUCUCUUUAACUUUACAAUUUUUUUUUUUUUAUAAAAACCGAAAUUAUAAUUAUUUUUUUUUCUUUCUUCUUCCUCCGGUCGCCGGCACGGCGAUGGCCGGCGACCGGCCAGGCGAGCCUCGCUGAUCUGGCGAGACUCGAACUCGCCGGCGUUGGGCGAGGGGCGAGCUCGAGCUCGCCAGAUCUGGCGAGGCGGAGGCCUCACCGACGUCCGGCGAGGCUCGAGCUUCGCCAGAUCCGGCGAGGGGCGAGCUCGAGCUCGCCCGACGCUGGCGAGGCUCGAGCUCGCCGGAUCUGGAGCCUCGCCGAUCUGGCGAGACUCCAGCUCGCCGACGUCGGGCGAGCUCGAGCUCGCCGGAUCUGGCGAGACUCGAGCUCGCCGGAUCUGGCGAGCCUCGAGCUCGCCGGCGUCGGCGAGCCGGGCGAGCUUGAGGCUCGCUUGUGGCCGGCCGCCGGCUGUCGUCGUGGCCGGCGGCUGACCAAAGAAGAAGAAGAAAAAAGAAAAAAAGAAAAAGAAAAAAAAAAUUAAAUAUUAUAUUCUUAAAAAUAAAAAUAAUUAAAAAAUUAAUUUUUAAAAAAUAAAAAAUAAUUAAAAUUCGAAAUUUUUUAAAAUAAUUAUUUUAAAAAUUAUAAAAAUUAUCAAUUAAAUUUGUGUUGUAUAAAACCAUUUUAGCAAUAUCAUUUUAAAAAUAUAUAUAUAAACUUUUUUAGGUUUCGUUAAAUGGGUCGGGUAUGGAUCGGGUACGGGUCGGGUCGGGUAUGGGUUAAAAAUUUUGCACUGUAAUAAAUGGGUCAUAAACGGGUUAAAUGGGUCGAUUUGGGUUGGACCAUUUAUGACCCGACCCAAACCCGACCUGACCCACCCGUUUAACGGGUCUAUGUGGACUAUAAUAGGGGAGGCGGAAGAAGUUGAAUUAGUAAGUUAUGUGCAAAUGUUGAAUGCUGAAAAAUAGCCGACGUGUUAUUUAUUGACAACCGGUGGACUCAAUCAAUGAGAAUAGAAUUUGGUCAAAACAAAAAAUCAUCGGCGAACAAGAUGAUAGGUGAAUUACGGACUUGUCGACAAGGAAGAAAAUCAACAAUGCGUAGUCUGAAAAUUGUCUAACUUCACCGAUGUUUAAGAGAAGUUGAUCAAUAAAGUUAUCAACACUAAAUAAUCCUAUUAUUUUGGUCAAGCGUUAAGGUUGUGAAAUUAAUGAACUCAAUGAAAGCAUGUGAACACAUCAAUCGAAGACAGACAAUGAAUCAACAUCAGCACAUGACUACUAUGUCAAUAUUCUGGAGAAUUGUAAAUUUUUUUAGGUAAUCAUUGUAAUCUUGUCAGGUGUUUAUAAUGCAUAUACGCUUAGAAAUUUAUUUACAGAUUCAAAAUCCAUAAUCAUACGUACUAACUGAUGUUAGUGGGAUAUAAAAAUCCAUGAUAUAAUCUUUGUCAUUAACACUCACACAAUCAAUGACGGCAUGCCUUUUCUUUUCUUUUUUGUGACUCAGGAAUCGCCGUACAGCUGGCAGCCGGCGGCAUAAACCCAGGGCGACCCGAGAGGAGACGACAUGCCUUUUUAUCUUUAGUUCCCUUGCAAAAUUUGCAUUUCUGGCAACCUUUUGAUUUCCAAUAUUAUUUACAUUUCUUGUGACCUUUUCUUUCCUAGUACCUACACUUAAAAUUCCUUUGCAUUUCGUACCAUAUUCCUUUCUUGUCAAAAUCAACAAAGAACGUUUUCUCACAAUCUGUCUUUCUCGAGUCAAAUUGCAAUCCAUCAUUUUUUCGAAAGACAGGGCGAUAAAGAAGAUCUAAUGAUAUUUUUAUUUAAAUUGAAAACUAUCAUUAGAUCUAAUGAGAAAAAAGAAGAAGAAAACGACAGGAAUAUACAGAAAUUUUAAGAGGGAAAAAACUGAAAAAUUUAGCGUGUACAUCAAAAUCAUUUUAUUUCGAUCAAAACUAUUUUUUUUGUUUUUAAAAAUUAUUUUGAAAUAAAACUCCGUUCGAUAACGUAAUUUUAUUUUUGUAUUUUUAGAGCAAAUUUUCAAUCUAGAAAUAAAUUUGGAACAUAAAUAAAAAGUAAAAAAAAAUUAUACUCUCUUUCUAAAAUAGAAAUGAGAAAUAAACAAUCUUUCCAUUACUCGUCCUCGCUACUAACUGUCCGCUCACCUAUCGCUAUUUGCAGCCAUCAGUCGUUGUCAGUCCUGGACCAUAUGUUGGUCGAUAGUCGCUCACUAUCUUCAGCAGCUACUGGUUCCUGGCCAUCCGUUGGUCACUAUUCGCUUGCCACAUUUAGUUAUCGCUUGUUGAGAGGGAGAAAUUUCUUAUCGUUAUCAUAUAAAUAUAUAUUUUAAGAAGAGAAAUUUUGUAUCGUCAUCAACUAUGUAUUUUUAAAUAAUAAAAAUAAUAGAAAUUAGGUCGAUUUUGAGUGUGACCCAUGCUUCCCCUUGCCAUUGGAUGACUUCGGACUUCGGUGGAGGAUUUUGCUAAAAGAUUUAAGGAGGGGGGGGGGGAGAUGGAGGGAAUUGUUCGCGAUGGAAUCAAAGCUUCUUUGACGGCCGCUCCUAAGUGAUUAUUCUGGCUCUUGGAUUUACUUUUCGAACGACGAAUUUGACCGCAAGCUAUCUGUGUCAGGCGGAGAGCCUCCGAGGAUUCUCCACAUGGACCGACUUUUUUUAUCUUUUAGUAUUGAGAAAAAUCUUCACAUUUCAUAAUUAUCUUCUGUCUAGAAAAACCAUUUUGCAGGAUGCACGUGGUCCUUUCAUCUCUGGUGAUCCCGAUAUGCCUAUUAUUGUCCUAGCACGCUUGUCUUAUUACGAGAUUACCCUUGGGCUCCGACUGUACAAGGAUAACUUCUAUAAGAAGCAAAAUAAGAUCAGCGUUCCGAAAAUAUCUCUUCCAUGUACACUAUUCCCACGACCUUCUGAAUACUUUUCCUUCUUCCUCGAAGCACGGUGCCGACAAAAGUUAAGAGUUAGAGCGUUAGCUCAAUAUAUUAAGCACGAUUUUAGAAAUAUGUUCUCCGUUCAUCACUCUGUAAAUCAUAAUUUCUGAAAUUCAAGAGUUUUAUGAUAUAGAUAAGUGAUUUUAAAAAACUAAAAAGAAGUCCCCUCGAAAGUUUUAAGAAAACAACCUUGUGUCGUUGGAUAGCAUUACUGUCUUGGGAACUAUUAAUUUUAUACCAUGGACCCCUCAAUGUGCUCUUCAUGCCCCUAAUAAUUCCAAGAAGCAUGCUAAACUCUCGUCAAGUAAUUACAACAAAUCGAGUUCAAGCAUGCUCACACUUCGAGCUAAUUUUGAGAUCGACUAUGUUUGCAUGAAACUAUAACUAUAUAUGGGCCAGAGUAGUUGAGGAAUAGUCAAGUACUUGAAAGAGCCGGUUAUGUCGAAGUAAUGAUGUUAGAGUUGAGUCAUAUGGCGUGGAAUAGGCGAGUUUGGAAGAAGCCGAAUUAGUGAGUCGUGCAAAUGUGGAGCACUAAAAAGUGGCCGACUCUCUAGUUAUUGACAAGUGUCAGAUUGACUGGUAAGAGCAGCAUUUGGUCAGAACGAAAGCCAUCGGUGAACAAGCCGAUGAAGAAAAUCAACAAAGCACAGUGCAAAAAUUAUCAAUGAAAGCCUUCGCAAGGCUUAAGAGAAGAUGAUCGACAAACUCAUCAAUACUAAACUCCCGUUAAGUAAUUACGACAAAUUUGAAUGGAAGCGUACUCACGGCUCGAGCAACUUCUGAGAUUGACGGAACCAUUUCCGAAACACGCGGGGCAUUUUGAUCUAAGGACUACCAGGUCCUGUAGCCAAAAAUCUCUAGUCCAAUUCGAUUUAAGAAUACGAUCAUUUUUAACUCCUUGUCGGUGGCCUCAUUCAAGAAUUUCGGGAACUGACAUUUCGUCGUCUCUUGUCCAAUUCGAUUUAAGAAUACGAUCAUUUUCACUCAUUGUCGGCGGCCUCAAUCAAGAAUUUCGGGAACUGACAUUUCGUCGGUAACUCCUUUCGAGUUUAUAAGCUAGUCCACAAUAGUGUUAUACCAAAUAUUUUCUUAAUAGGUAAAAAAGUACUGAGUUUUAUGCAGUGGAGAACCAAUUAAUUCUCAUCAUUACCACAGUAAUCUUGAAAAUCGGUCGUCAUCGAAGAUGAUUAUACAUGGUUCAGCUGCUCUUGUUAUGCUACGCGCGAUCAGGACGUGCCUUAUUGCUUUUUCAACAGCAAGACCAAUUGAUAAUAUACCAUGCAAAGGGGGCAUAAUACGAAGGCCUGAACUGCAUUGAAAAAUGACCAAUAGUAGACUCUCAGCUGGUACGGAAAGAAAGCAAAGACAGUACAAAUGCCAGUGCACAAACGCAAGACUCAAAAUUGACUCGAGCUGGCGACCCCAAUCUGCCACCGCCUAUCGAGCACCCAGUUCUGCAACCACGUGCUCGAUGAGGACAGGAACAUGAGAUGGUGAUAACCAGCGCACCAAACCCCUAAAUGACCGAUAGACAGACAGCUGACAAUGACCAACGCCUUAUUGCAAUGACUCCCAUGUGAUACGAUGUCGAAUCUCAACCGCACGAUUCACUUGCCCUUCUUGGCAGCAGACUUGGUGACCUUGGCACCACUAGGAUCCUUCUUCUCGACACUCUUGAUGACACCAACGGCGACGGUCUGGCGCAUGUCCCUCACAGCAAAACGACCGAGGGGAGGAUACUCAGAGAAGGUCUCGACAACCAUGGGCUUGGUGGGAAUCAUCUUGACCAUUCCAGCAUCACCGUUCUUCAAGAACUUGGGCUCCUUCUCAAUCUCCUUACCUGAUCGCCUGUCGAUCUUGGUCACCAGCUCAGAAAACUUGACUGCAAUAUGGGAGGUGUGACAGUCAAGAACAGGGGCAUAUCCAUUUCCAAUCUGGCCAGGGUGAUUCAUGAUAAUAACUUGGGAGGUAAAGUUGGCUGCUUCCUUGGCGGGAUCGUCCUUCGAGUUGGAUGCAACGUAGCCACGCUUGAGAUCCUUGACAGCAACAUUCUUCACGUUAAACCCAACGUUGUCACCUGGAAGAGCCUCCUGGAGAGCCUCAUGGUGCAUCUCCACGGACUUAACUUCAGUGGUCAACCCAGAGGGACCAAAAGUGACAACCAUCCCAGGCUUAAUGACACCAGUCUCAACACGGCCGACAGGGACAGUUCCGAUACCACCAAUCUUGUACACGUCCUGAAGUGGGAGACGGAGGGGCUUGUCAGAUGGUCUCUUGGGCUCAUUAAUCUGGUCGAGGGCGUCGAGCAAUGUUGGACCCUUGUACCAGUCAAGGUUGGUAGACCUCUCAAUCAUGUUGUCUCCCUCGAAUCCGGAGAUGGGGACAAAUGGAAUCUUGUCAGGGUUAUAUCCCACCUUCUUCAGGUAAGAAGAGACUUCCUUAACAAUUUCAUCAUACCUAGCCUUGGAGUACUUGGGGGUGGUGGCAUCCAUCUGUCAUCAAAGAAUUAUAAGCUAAUUGUAAAUCAACACACACACAGCAAUAUACUAACAGCAACCUAGAAUAAACAGCAUACCUUGUUACAGCAGCAGAUCAUUUGCUUGACACCGAGGGUGAAGGCAAGGAGAGCAUGCUCGCGGGUUUGGCCAUCCUUGGAGAUACCAGCUUCAAAACCACCAGUUGUGGAAUCGAUGAUAAGGACAGCACAGUCAGCCUGGGAGGUUCCAGUAAUCAUGUUCUUAAUGAAAUCACGAUGUCCCGGAGCAUCAAUGACGGUGCAGUAGUACUUGGUGGUCUCGAACUUCCACAAGGCAAUAUCAAUGGUGAUUCCACGCUCACGCUCGGCCUUGAGCUUGUCAAGCACCCAGGCGUACUUGAAUGAUCUCUUGUUCAUCUCAGCAGCUUCCUUCUCGAAUCUCUCAAUCACACGCUUGUCGAUUCCUCCAAGCUUGUAAAUCAAGUGGCCAGUGGUAGUUGAUUUACCAGAGUCGACAUGGCCAAUGACCACAAUGCUGAUGUGAACCUUUUCCUUACCCAUCUUGAAUUAUAAGGCUUGAUUCUGUCCAGGAUAAAAUGAUUCUCGUACUUAAGAAAAGUGAUUUAUCAUAACAAAAAAUUGCAACAAUAGAAUUUCACCGAUCGAUUGCUAGCACACAAAACAUUCAUUCAGAGAAUUAGUUUCUGAAGCUACUCAUGUUGGCACCCAACGAAAAUUCAGUCCAUAUUCUUUAAGAACCACAACUGCCAAAAUAAAAGCCAAAAGAAGCCACAAAUCAUUCCAUGCACCCAUGUACUCGAUCAUACUAGAAAGACAGAUAAAGGAGCAGAAAUUCGAGGUUUUUUGUUUUUGUUUUUUUUUUUUUUUUUGGCUUUAGACACCAGAAACAAAAUUUCCUCAAGGAAGAAACCUAACCCCAAACAAGAACAAGAACCUCAUGAUAAAUUUAAGUCAUCGAAAUACCCAAACAAAAUUGCAGUUGAAAAUCGUUUUGACUAUACCAAAUUAACUUCAAUCCUGUAGGUACCAUAUAAUAUUCAUCUCACAAUCACCUCAGCGCUUAAAAAUGAUUUCGAUUGAUCAUCUCGAAACCGGUCGGUCCAAUCAACAACUCGUUCGGAGCAGAUCCAAUCACUACACAGAUCUAAAACGCUAUCCUCAGAUUCAACCGAUUCGACGACAAAGCAAGAGAAAACGAGCGCUCGUUUCCACGAGCCAGAAUCCCAAACAAAAGCACGAGGCAGACAUCCAAACAAGAUCAUCCGAUCCAUCAUACAUUGCGGAAACAAACAAAAGAACACAAUCCACCGCGCGAUUCAGCCAUGUCAAUCAACACGAAGCACGAAAACAAAUCGACGAAUCCGAAAUCGAAACGGAAGACGCACCUCCUGAUGCCUCGGCCACCAAAACCAAAAACCCUUCGGCCGCUCGAGCGCUGGCGAAGCGAAUGGAGAAGACGAGGAAGGUGGGUGUGGAAAUGGAGAGCGAAGUGGCGCUAGGGUUUGGGGCGACGCUUUUAUAUCGCUGCGGUCGCUCUUUCCGCGUUUCCGGUUUUGCCCCCGGGUCGCGCAGCCUGAAUUCCAUCGGCUGUCCCUCUCCCUCGGCUGAUUCCUCGCUCGGGCGCGGGGUUCCCCCCGCCCACUCGCGCCCCCGCGCGUGCGGCGCGCUUGGGCCUUGCGGUCCGGGAGGUGCGCGCCACGCGCUCGGGAGGUGGGGGACAGGGAAUUCGUGGAUCCGACGUGGAUUGUCCGGUCGGAGGGUGCCGAGGAUUAUUCGGGGGAUUUUCCGGAGAGAUGCCGGGUUCGGCAAAAUUCGCGUGAUUUAGAUGCUUUUUGGCCCACGAAGAUCCUGAAAAUUUGGCCCGGAGAUCGUGCUUUGGUGCAUUGGCGAUUCGAUUCAAGUCGAGUCGAGUCAAGUCGAGGGGUCCGCUUUACUUGACUUCAAUCGCACACUUUCAACUUGACUUGGCGAGAGGAGCUUGCCUUGCUCGAUUUCGACAUGAUUUUUUAAAUGUGAAACCUAUUUUUUUCAAUGUUUUUGAAUGGAGUGAAAUGAAAGGUAAUGAGGAAAGUAUCUAAAAAAUCCUAAAUUUAUUGCACAUGUGUCAUGCCGAUCCUAAACUUUUAAAUUAUAUUAAUCGAGGCUUAAAUCUUUUGACCAUUUGCUAAUUUAGUUCAUUCAACCAAUUUUUGUCAAGAAUCAUUAACAUGGAUACCGAAUAUCCUACACAACAUGACUAUCGCUAAUGUAGACAAAAUUUAUUAUUUAAAAAAAAAUUUAGAUUUUUAAAUUUUUUUUCUUUCUUUGUUUUUUCUUAACGUUACGAGUCGGCAAGGUCAUUAGUUGACUAUCAUGGCCCUUGCCGACCAAUAGAGCAAGAGCCCUUCCCUAGAUUUGGGGCAAGAGUGUGGAGACCCUUGCCUGUUGCUGGCAAGGGUCGCGAUGCGCUCGAUUAGGCUAGGCAAGGGUUGCUAACUUAGAGUUGGGAAAAAGAAAGAAAAUAAAAGUCCAAAAAAAAAACUGAAAAAAAAAAUUAUUUAUGUUAACAUUAGUCAUAUCAUGUAAGACGGAUGAUGUUCAUAUUAGUAAUUUCAAGUAAAAAUUGGCUAAAUAAACUACACUGACAUAUCGUCAAAAGAUUUUGAAUUCAAUUAGUACAAAUGUUAAUGACUAAAUUAGUAUAAGUGUAAGAGAGUUAGAACUUUUUUGGAAUUUUUUCGAGAAGAAAUAGAUACAAAUAACAAACUUGGAAAAAAUUUCCCUUCCUUUGGCUGUCGAAGUUUGGAGGAAAGUGAAUGGAAAUUAUUUUGAACAGGAGGAAAAUUCCUCUCUCCGGUUAAUUCCUUCCAAAAUUGGAAAAAAAAAAACGGGAAGGAAAUGCAAAUGUUGCAUUUUGUUUUCCAAGAUUGCCCCUACUUUCGUCAUGUGUGAAUAAGAUGAAGGACAAUGAAGUCUAUUCGAGAAAUUAAUUUCCCUUUAUAUCAUUUUCACUCAACAUGCACCAAAGCAUAUUGACCAACUUUCACAUCCUUUCUCUUAUUUUAUCAUCAUUUAUUUUCUCUUCCUUGCUUUCCAUUUUCUUUCUUACUUUGAUUACCAACCAAAGUGUGUCCAAGUGAUAGUGAGAGAAAGGAAAUAUUAGGGUUAAGCAUGACUCAAGUGGCUCAGUUCUAACUUUGGAAUAGGGAAUUGUUUUGCCAUAAUUUUUUCUACGACAAAAUAUCUUUUACUGAAUAUUGUUCUUAAUUUUUAUUUAAGGAAACCAUAAUUCUACACCAAUUUUGAACAGGAAAUACCACAGGCAAACAAGAAUCAACUUCUUAUAUCCAAAUAGUGUUGUACCAAUCAAGGCGGAAAUUAAUAUAUGACAAUACCUGAAAAUUAUAAACUCAAUGACGUGAAAAGGUAUAAACAAAUUAUGAUAGAAUCUAAUUGACUUCAUAGCUUGAGAACAUUACUAUGAACAUAAAAACACCACGUCUAAAUUUAAUCGAAAAUGCAUAUGUAAAAGCUACAACUAAGAUAGCUAAAGUGCAAGUAAAUAAAGAUAAAGAGUAAAUUUGCUUGGUUUGCGUGUGGGGCAAUCUAAUGGACAAGUAGUGGUAUGUACAAUAGUUUAUGGUAACCAUCUUUUAACGGUUCCCAACGGUUAUAUUUCCUUUAAUUACUCCUGUCUAUUACCUCCGCAUCUUGAUAACUUUGCAUGCCUCUUACACAAACUAUAACAGUGGGUGUCCCAUGAUCUUCCCUAAAAACACAUGCGCCUUUGAUCUCAAUUGCUCAAUCAAUUUUAAACUCCAAAUAGCUUGCUAAUGUCCCUUCAAUAAAUAAUCAUCUCAACAACCUAUAGCUGUUUGCUGCCAUAUUUUGGCAACUAAGCAUGCGGCAUUGACGAAUAUCAUCAUUAAUAUGCAUGUGAUAGUUCCUACACUUUUUGAUGAGAUGACAUUUGUAGUGAGUCAAUAACAUCCACAUGCUAUGCACAUGACUGUCACGUUUAGGUGCCACUCACGCGUUUGUUCUUACUCGCAUGAUAAAAGCUUGUUUGGUAACGUUUCUAUUUCUUCCGAUCACUUCCGACUAGUAGUUGGUGAUGGCGGCGACUGUCGCUAGAAAUAAGUUUUUAUUUUUUUAUUUUCUUCCUCCUUGGCCGCCACCAUUGCCUAUUGCUAUCCAACCAUUGCCAGCUAGUAGUUGGUGACAACAGUGGUGGUGGUCCACGACCGCGGCAAAUAUUAAAAAGUAUUAAGAAAUUAAAAGAAAUUGUACAUUACGAAAAGAUUUAUGAAUCGUACCAAUACAUUCAUUUUCUUUUUCAUUCUAAGAGUUGAAAUUUUGUGUAAUUACCAAACGUGUUCUUUUACUUAGAAAUUAUUCCGAACAAUAGAAAUAGAAAAAAACUAUUUUUGAAAAGAAAUUGUUCUCCAAAGAAGUGUCACUAAACGGACUGUAAAUAAAUUAUUUUUGGUGCCAACAAAAACUAAACUUGAGGGUUCCAAGUGUCUCUGAACCGGUUCUAGUCCCUCACAAGACAAGCGGGCAUCUUUUUUUUUUUUUUUUUGGUGUUUUUUGAAAUUUCUUUUUUGUUUCAACUUACUUUCAACAAACCUAAAAUGAGAGAGAGAGAGAGAGAGAGAGAGAGAGAGAGGCUGGAUUUCUUUCAGCUUAGGGGGCUGUGGGCUGGGUAAUCAGGCGUGAGUGGGUAUGGGCCCUUUUCAUUGGCAGUUUAAGUGUGGGCUGGGCUUUACUCUAAAUAAAGCUCACCUUUUUCAAAGAUGAAAUUAUAUGGACGGUAUAGAGCCAAUUCAGAUUUCGGUUCUACCCAAGAAUCGGCCUGAUUUGUUAGCUCCCAAGCAGAACAAGUGAAUUCAAUGAUCAAACGAGGAACGAAACCAGACUUUUGGUAGGUUCCAAGGCUUUGAACUCGUGAACCUACCCGGCGUUCUUCGGAAACCAACCUCGAAGUGGACUGACAAAGCUGGUUUGGGCAGUUUCUGAACGAGAGGUGGGUGGAGAAAUUUUCACAUUUUCCUUCUAAAUUCCUUCUUGUGAAAAAUUAAAAUCUACUUAACUCACCUCUCAUUUUCUUUCCCGCCUUUUUAUCUCCCAAACGAUGCAUUAGGUAAUGCGCGACUCAACAUAUGAAGACAUACUUGCAUCACCUCAAUUUAAUAGAUUGAGUGCAAAGUGCAAUACAAUCAUUGAACAUACAGGGCUUGCAUUGAAUUUUCAUGAUCCACACGGCUUUAAUGGAUUCAAUUCAUGCGAAGGCUGAUUCGGAGUGCAACCUCACCAGCAGGUAAGAAGCGGCGUUCGGCUCCGAUGGAUCUCCAGAAACUUUCAGUUGAGAAAGCUUUUCUUCCCCUUCUUCUUCCCCCUAAAUUGAUACUUCCUCCGUGAACGAGAUUCUCAUUCUUUUAUUGAGGACGGAGUGCAACCUCACCAGCAGGUAAGCGGCGGCGUUCGGCUUCGAUGGAUCUCCAGAAACUUUCAGUCGAGAAAGCUUUUCUUCCCCCUUCUUCUUCCCCCUGAAUCGAUACUUCCUCCAUGAACGAGAUUCUCAAGCCCAUGUAGCCUCCAAUCUUAGUAUUUCUGACCAAAUCUAUUUCCCCCCCAAAAAAAAAAGUCAACUGUCCCUAAGUUGACGAAUUACCCAAAAAUCAUUCUGUGCGCGACAUACGAGAGGUUUUUAUCAUUGUUCUUGCAUAAAAAGCUAGCUGCUAUACCAUGCACGGAACUUGACUUAUGCUAUAAUACGUUUAAUAUCCACUCUGAUAUUUUAGCAAAAGAAUCUUUUGAAUACUAUUUCAAAUUGAAGGGUGCAGUUGUAUGUCCAAAUCCAAAGUUGAAUGAUUACUUUAUAAUAAUUUAAUCACUCAAAAUUAUAUGUUUUUAAUAGAAUUUAAGUUUUUUUUCGACACCUUUUUUUUUUCUUUUAAUAGUUUAAUAAUGGCAAUUAACUUCUUCUUUUUUGUCGUUCCUACUCCUACUCCUACUUCUACUUAAGCUCUCACUCUCAGACUUUUGCCUUGUCUGCUUGCAGAGUAUGUGAGUUCAAAUCCACAUUUGAAACUAAAUUGUUCCCAUCCCAAUCUUUCUAAGAAGAUGGAGAUUUGAAUCCCCCAUCUUCUCCUUUCAUGUUGGAAGGGUGGCCAGUAAACUCCAAUGAUUAAUGACAAUUAACUUCAAUUUGAAGAAUUGGAUACUUUCUAUCUCUUUGGCUUCGAUUUGUUAAUUCUCUAUUACUUUGCAUAAACCCUCCAUUAUGAUAAAUAUAUAUUAUCCAAACCCUUAUAAAAUGUAGUUUGCCCCUGUUAUACUUUCCAAUUGCGGAGUAGUAUAAAAUGUGCCUUAUUGUCAUUUUAUCACAUUAAUCAGCACCUUUCUAGUCAUUACUUGUUAGCUUUCACUUGAUCUAAAUUUCAUAAUUCAUGCACUUCGGUAUUUGUUGAAAAUCCGAUAUUCAAGACUUGCAAAUAUCGACAUUCGAAUUCACUUAUAGUUACUUUUUUUAAAAUAAUUUUUUCAUAUUCAAAUAACAUUUCCAUUUUGUCUGGAAAUUCAAAGGACAUAUUUGAUUUUUUUGAAUGUUUAACAAACGAACUGCAAAAGAUGAGAAAAAGAUUAUGAGUGAUCAGUUCCUAGAGUGAGCCGGUUCCACCCUAGAACUGAGAAUCAGACCUAUCGGUCCUAAGUUGAUCCGGUUUUCGGGUUGAAUCAGUCUGGUUUAAGGUUUUGAAAACUUCAUUUUUCAUUACUUUUUAAAAGAAGAGGGAAAAAGACAUAUCAGUCUAAAUGGUUCGGUUCCAUACUUAGAAUCAAGACCCUCCCAAAACUGUCUGGAUCAGUUCGGUCCGAUCCAAUUUCUGGGUUGGUGCGGUUUCCGUGCACAUCCAGCCAAAGACGCCCAAAAUUCAGCAUCUUUUUGUCAGCACUUGUCCGGCCCAUUUCGGGCGGCCGACCCUGGGAGCAAAAACAAAAGAUGCCGCCUGCUUCUAGAAGUGAAUGAGACUGGUCCAGAGGACGACCUCAGAGUCUACGAGAGACGCGACAUAAGACCUUUGAUCAUUCCCCGCAAACCCAAGAAUAUGCCAAAAAUCUGGUUGAAUGAAAGCUUGUCUUACUCGAGGAAUCAGCAGUUACCUGCACCAGCGGCCUGCAGAACUCGAGAGCUCAAAAAAGUCCAAAACUUAAGUUUCCUAGCAAAGACACGAUGAGAAGAAAUGUCUGUAGAAGGAUUCGAAGGAGAGAUCAAACCGAUGGAGACGCGAGAGGGAUGGUUGGGCAAAACCGUUUGCUCCGAAAGUUUAAUUAUUAUAGAAAACGAGUCGAUACUACAUGUAUGGCUUGUUUAUCGGCAGUUCUUUCUUGCAAGCCUGUCUUUUUAGGCCGGCACAACGAGUUGUGAAUGUAAUUAUGUCGAUAAGAUAAAUGGAAAUAGGAAAAUAGAGGCAAGGAAAAUGAAUAAUGGGCAUGAGAAGAUCGAGCGGAAGCAUCAGUAUUCAAAAACUUGAUCCGCAUUGUGAUUUAAAUAUGUGACAUCUGCUAACAUUAUUACUCCUAAGAAAAUUUGAAAAAUUAAAAGAACGAAUAAUGUAUAGAUAAGGUGUUUCUUUACGGGAACAAAAAGUAAGGGUGAUUAAACAUUUCUCAAUUUUUUUUAGUCUUGAUCAUAAUGUCUUUUCAUGUAUUCAGCUAUUUCACUUUCAAAAAUCAAUCAUGCAAAAGUUAUAUUGCAUUUCUUGAUCUUAGAGUACUUCAAUCCUACCAUACCAGGCUUAACCUGCACAUCCUGAAUUAUAGUCGGUCCACGUACGUUAUGUUUGAAUUCGAGUAUCUUUCCUUUAUCAUCAAAUUGUUAGCGGAGGGUUUGGGUUGAUUUAACCAUCAAUGAGCCAAUUUAUAUGCGUAGAUUAAGCCCA